rnacentral:rRNA from 1 species
GAUGAACGGCGUGGCGGCGUGCUUAACACAUGCAAGUCGAACGGAAGCACCUUAAGUUCUGAUUUCUUCGGAAUGAAAAAUUUGGUGACUGAGUGGCGGACGGGUGAGUAACGCGUGGGUAACCUGCCUCAUACAGGGGGAUAACAGUUAGAAAUGGCUGCUAAUACCCCAUAAGACCACAGCACCGCAUGGUGCAGGGGUAAAAACUCCGGUGGUAUGAGAUGGACCCGCGUCUGAUUAGCUAGUAGGCGGGGUAACGGCCCACCUAGGCGACGAUCAGUAGCCGGACUGAGAGGUUGACCGGCCACAUUGGGACUGAGACACGGCCCAG